rnacentral:rRNA from 1 species
AUUGAACGCUGGCGGCAGGCCUAACACAUGCAAGUCGAGCGAGCGGCGGACGGGUGAGUAAUGCCUGGGAAUUGCCCAGUCGAGGGGGAUAACAGUUGGAAACGACUGCUAAUACCGCAUACGAUUGGAUUGCCUAGGUGGGAUUAGCUAGUUGGUGAGGUAAUGGCUCACCAGGGCUAGUAUCCCUAGCUGGUCGGAGAGGAUGAUCGGCCACACGGGAACGGGGAACCGGUCCAGACUCCUACGGGAGGCAGAAGGGGGGAUUAUUGCACAAUGGGGGAAACCCUGAUGCAGCCAUGCGCGGUGGGUGAAGAAGGCCUUCGGGUGGUAAAGCACUUUCAGCGAGGAGGCGUUACUCGCAGAAGAAGCACCGGCUAACUACGUGCCAGCAGCCGCGGUAAUAC